rnacentral:rRNA from 1 species
AUUGAACGCUGGCGGCAGGCCUAACACAUGCAAGUCGAACGAGUGGCGGACGGGUGAGUAAUGUCUGGGAAACUGCCUGAUGGAGGGGGAUCACUACUGGAAACGGUAGCUAAUACCGCAUACCAUCGGAUGUGCCCAGAUGGGAUUAGCUUGUUGGUGGGGUAACGGCUCACCAAGGCGACGAUCCCUAACUGGUCUGAGAGGAUGCCCAGCCACACCGUAACUGAGACACGGUCCAGACGCCUACGGGAGGCAGCAGUGGGGAAGAUUGGACAAAGGGCGAAAGCCUGACGCAGCCAUGCCGCGUGUAUUAAGAGGGCCUGCGGGUUGUACAGUACUUUAAGUGGGGAGGCGUUACCGGCAUAAGAAGCACCUGCUAACUCCGUGCCAGCAGCCGCGGUAAUAC